rfam:Thalassolituus oleivorans MIL-1 complete genome
AAUACUUAACAACGCCGAGCGUUGGCAUCUAACCAGCCGCCUUCCUUACGAAUGCAGCCGCAUGAUGUCUUCGCCGUGGUACUCAUUAGCAGUACCACCAGGGUUCCGCCGGAAACGGUUGAGCCUCCCACAUUUGGAAAGGUGUAACAUGACUCUGCAA